rnacentral:rRNA from 1 species
GACGAACGCUGGCGGCGUGCUUAACACAUGCAAGUCGAACGGAAAGGCCCUGCUUUUGUGGGGUGCUCGAGUGGCGAACGGGUGAGUAACACGUGAGUAACCUGCCCUUGACUUUGGGAUAACUUCAGGAAACUGGGGCUAAUACCGGAUAGGAGCUCCUGCUGCAUGGUGGGGGUUGGAAAAUUUCGGCGGUUGGGGAUGGACUCGCGGCUUAUCAGCUUGUUGGUGGGGUAGUGGCUUACCAAGGCUUUGACGGGUAGCCGGCCUGAGAGGGUGACCGGCCACAUUGGGACUGAGGUACGGCCCAGACUGCUACGGGAGGCAGCGGUGGGGAGUAUUGCACAGUGGGCGGAAGCCUGAUGCAGCAGCGCCGCGUGCGGGAUGACGGCCUUCGGGUUGUAAACCGCUUUCGCCUGUGACGAAGCGUGAGUGACGGUAAUGGGUAAAGAAGCACCGGCUAACUACGUG